UGGGGAAUAUUGCACAAUGGGCGCAAGCCUGAUGCAGCCAUGCCGCGUGUGUGAAGAAGGCCUUCGGGUUGUAAAGCACUUUCAGCGAGGAGGAAGGUGGUGAGCUUAAUACGCUCAUCAAUUGACGUUACUCGCAGAAGAAGCACCGGCUAACUCCGUGCCAGCAGCCGCGGUAAUACGGAGGGUGCAAGCGUUAAUCGGAAUUACUGGGCGUAAAGCGCACGCAGGCGGUUUGUUAAGUCAGAUGUGAAAUCCCCGGGCUCAACCUGGGAACUGCAUUUGAAACUGGCAAGCUAGAGUCUCGUAGAGGGGGUAGAAUUCCAGGUGUAGCGGUGAAAUGCGUAGAGAUCUGGAGGAAUACCGGUGGCGAAGGCGGCCCCCUGGACGAAGACUGACGCUCAGGUGCGAAAGCGUGGGGCAGCAAACAGGAUUAGAUACCCUGGUAGUCCAGCGCUGUAAACGAUGUCGAUUUUGGAGGUUGUGCCCUUGAGGCGUGGCUUCCGGAGCUAACGCGUUAAAUCGACCGCCUGGGGAGUACGGCCGCAAGGUUAAAACUCAAAGGAAUUGACGGGGUCAUAGCUG
rnacentral:rRNA from 1 species